AAAAACAUCGCCUCCUGCACACCAGAUAUAGGAGGUCCCGCCUGCCCAGUGACUAUAUGUUCAACGGCCGCGGUAUCAUGACCGUGCAAGGUAGCGCAAUCACUUGUCUUUUAAAUAAAGACCCGUAUGAAUGGCCCGACGAGGGCUUAACUGUCUCCUCUUCCUAGUCAAUGAAAUUGAUCUCCCCGUGCAGAAGCGGGGAUCUCUCCAUAAGACGAGAAGACCCUGUGGAGUUUUAGACACUAGGCAGCCUUCCCCCACAGCCCCCACAAGGACAUACCACAAGAACCUGCCCCCGUGUCUUGGUUGGGGCGACCACGGAGCACAAAAACCCUCCACGCGGAACGGAGCCACUGCCCCUUAAACAAGGGCCACCGCCCUAAUUACUAGAACCUCUAACCUAUGAUCCGGCACGCCGAUUAACGGACCAAAUUACCCCAGGGAUAACAGCGCAAUCUCCUUUUAGAGACCUUAUCAAAAAGGAGGUUUACGACCUCGAUGUUGGAUCAGGACAUCCUAAUGGCGCAGCCACUAUUAAGGGUUCGUUUGUUCAACGAUUAAAGUCCUACGUGAUCUGA
rnacentral:rRNA from 1 species